AGUUGCGAACGGGUGAGUAACGCGUAGGUAACCUACCUCUUAGCGGGGGAUAACUAUUGGAAACGAUAGCUAAUACCGCAUAAAAGUCGACAUUGCAUGAUGUUGACUUGAAAGGUGCAAAUGCAUCACUAAGAGAUGGACCUGCGUUGUAUUAGCUAGUUGGUGAGGUAACGGCUCACCAAGGCGACGAUACAUAGCCGACCUGAGAGGGUGAUCGGCCACACUGGGACUGAGACACGGCCCAGACUCCUACGGGAGGCAGCAGUAGGGAAUCUUCGGCAAUGGACGGAAGUCUGACCGAGCAACGCCGCGUGAGUGAAGAAGGUUUUCGGAUCGUAAAGCUCUGUUGUAAGAGAAGAACGAGUGUGAGAGUGGAAAGUUCACACUGUGACGGUAACUUACCAGAAAGGGACGGCUAACUACGUGCCAGCAGCCGCGGUAAUACGUAGGUCCCGAGCGUUAUCCGGAUUUAUUGGGCGUAAAGCGAGCGCAGGCGGUUAGAUAAGUCUGAAGUUAAAGGCUGUGGCUUAACCAUAGUACGCUUUGGAAACUGUUUAACUUGAGUGCAGAAGGGGAGAGUGGAAUUCCAUGUGUAGCGGUGAAAUGCGUAGAUAUAUGGAGGAACACCGGUGGCGAAAGCGGCUCUCUGGUCUGUAACUGACGCUGAGGCUC
rnacentral:rRNA from 1 species